rnacentral:rRNA from 1 species
GACGAACGCUGGCGGCGUGCUUAACACAUGCAAGUCGAACGGAAAGGCCCUGCUUUUGUGGGGUGCUCGAGUGGCGAACGGGUGAGUAACACGUGAGUAACCUGCCCUUGACUUUGGGAUAACUUCAGGAAACUGGGGCUAAUACCGGAUAGGAGCUCCUGCUGCAUGGUGGGGGUUGGAAAGUUUCGGCGGUUGGGGAUGGACUCGCGGCUUAUCAGCUUGUUGGUGGGGUAGUGGCUUACCAAGGCUUUGACGGGUAGCCGGCCUGAGAGGGUGACCGGCCACAUUGGGACUGCGGUACGGCCCAGACUCCUACGGGAGGCAGUAGGGGGGAAUAUUGCACAACGGGCGGAAGCCUGAUGCAGCAACGCCGCGUGCGGGAUGACGGCCUUCGGGUUGUAAACCGCUUUCGCCUGUGACGAAGCGUGAGUGACGGUAAUGGGUAAAGAAGCACCGGCUAACUACGUG